AUUGAACGCUGGCGGCAGGCUUAACACAUGCAAGUCGAGCGGUAGCACAAGAGAGCUUGCUCUCUGGGUGACGAGCGGCGGACGGGUGAGUAAUGUCUGGGAAACUGCCUGAUGGAGGGGGAUAACUACUGGAAACGGUAGCUAAUACCGCAUAAUGUCGCAAGACCAAAGAGGGGGACCUUCGGGCCUCUUGCCAUCAGAUGUGCCCAGAUGGGAUUAGCUAGUAGGUGGGGUAAUGGCUCACCUAGGCGACGAUCCCUAGCUGGUCUGAGAGGAUGACCAGCCACACUGGAACUGAGACACGGUCCAGACUCCUACGGGAGCAGCAGUGGGAAUAUUGCACAAUGGGCGCAAGCCUGAUGCAGCCAUGCCGCGUGUGUGAAGAAGGCCUUCGGGUUGUAAAGUACUUUCAGUCGUGAGGAAGGUAGUUGCGUUAAUAGCGUAAUUAUUUGACGUUUAG
rnacentral:rRNA from 1 species